CCUUUAAUUAGCGCUAAUUAAGCUUAAUGAGGCUUAACCCCAAUUAACCCUUAAUUAGCCUCAAAUUACCUCAAAUUACCCCAACUUACCCCAAAACACCCCAAAAUACUCCCUUAUCCGCCCUUAGUUAGCGCUAAUUAGGCUUAAUGAGGCCUCAUUAAGGCCCCGCCCACACGGAGAGGCCACGCCCCCUCUUUAAUUAACCCUAAUUACCCUUAAUUACCAUUAAUUAGCACCAAAUUACUCCAAAAAACCCCAGAAUACCCCAAAAUACCCCCAUUCCCGCCCUUAAUUAGCGCUAAUUAGUGCUAAUUAACGCUAAUUAAUUAGGGCGGAAGAAGCCCCUGGUGGCGGUGACGGGCGCCGACGGACUGACCCACCUCUGGGAGCCCCUGCAGGUGGCUCCGCCCCUCCCCCUCUGCGGGGCGGGGCUUAAUGCCGUGGGGGGGGUGGUGGGGGAGGGGUCUGGCCCCGCCCCCAUCGCCUCUGGCCCCGCCUCUUCCGGUUCCGGCCCCACCUCUUCCGGUUCCGGCCCCGGUUCUUCCGGGUCUGGCCCCGCCUCUUCCGGCUCAGGCCCCGCCCCCCUCCUGCUGACGGCGGCGGCCGAUGGGACCCUGCGCCUGACGCCCCUCCCCCUCCCGGGUACGGACCCACAGAUCUAUGGGGCUGGGACCCACUUAUGGGGCAGGACCCCCAUCUAUGGGGCUGGGACCCACAUAAGGGGGGCUGGGAGUCACUUAUGGGGGGCGGGACCCACACUUAUGGGGCUGGGACCCAAAUCUUUGGGGCUGGGACCCACUUCUAUGGGGCUGGGACCCACUUAUGGGGGGCGGGACCUACAUCUAUGGGGCUGGGACCCCAAUCUAUGGGGCUGGGCCCCCCAUCUAUGGGGCUGGGACCCAGAUCUAUGGGGCUGGGACCCACAGCUGUGGGGCUGGGAGCCACUUAUGGGGCUGGGACCCACAUCUGGGGGGCAGGAUCCAGAUCUAUGGGGCUGGGACCCAG
rnacentral:lncRNA from 1 species